CACACCUCACGUUUUCUGUUGUGUCGCCCUUGCCUGGUGGAGUCGUUUGGUUUGGGUUUUCUAUUCCAGUCCUUUCUCUGUUUAAACCCAGUUCGGGUGUAGCGAGAUAUGUCAUAGCGGGAGCUCUUUCAUAUCAGUCGGAUUGACCCAGUUGAGGGGAAGUGCCUAGCGGCUUCUGUC